rnacentral:rRNA from 1 species
CUCCAGACUCCUACGGGAGGCAGCAGUGAGGAAUAUUGGUCAAUGGGCGUAAGCCUGAACCAGCCAAGUCGCGUGAGGGAUGAAGGAUCUAUGGUUCGUAAACCUCUUUUAUAAGGGAAUAAAGUGCGGGACGUGUCCUGUUUUGUAUGUACCUUAUGAAUAAGGAUCGGCUAACUCCGUGCCAGCAGCCGCGGUAAUACGGAGGAUCCGAGCGUUAUCCGGAUUUAUUGGGUUUAAAGGGUGCGUAGGCGGAACAUUAAGUCAGCGGUAAAAUCGAGGGGCUCAACCCCUUUAAGCCGUUGAAACUGGUGAUCUUGAGUGGGCGAGAAGUAUGCGGAAUGCGUGGUGUAGCGGUGAAAUGCAUAGAUAUCACGCAGAACUCCGAUUGCGAAGGCAGCAUACCGGCGCCCGACUGACGCUGAGGCACGAAAGCGUGGGGAUCGAACAGGAUUAGAUACCCUGGUAAU